GUCGCAUGCCCGUGAUUUUAUUACCAUCCCAUUACCAACUCACAACGUUGUCAGUACGUCCUUCCAACGUGACCAGACAACCAAGAACGUCCCAGAUAGGUUCUCUAUUCGUAAUAUAUUGGUAACUUCAUGACUUACUGGAAACGUAACUACAACGUCCGUAUGCACGUAAUUUCACUACCAUAACUUUUGUACGUUCUUUAUAUGCUCUCUGGGUAUAGUGCUAUUUAAAAAUUGUAAUUAAACUUCAGACACAAGAUUAAACGUUCCUUAAAGAUAAAAUGUGUUUCUUUUCACCAAGUCAGAAUAUGGACAUGUUUUCAUAUAUAGUGACGUGACAUACAGCGCGCGCCGCUUCCACAGCUGACACGCGGCGCGCGCGCACAGUUAUUGACAAGAAAGGAAAUACAUUUUUCGGAGUUGUGAAACUUUCUAUUUUUGUAAGGAGUUAUGAACGUGAAAUAAUGACACAGACUGGCUACACGAUCUCAUCUGCCGCAGAUACUGUAUCAGGAGGACAGCGCGUCUGUUUGAGGCACUUUUCACUUCAACUGUGUCUGACGGGAGAAUUAGCUUUUCUGAGCCUACUAGCCGCUGAGAGUUGCCAUGGCAACCGCGGACACAUCAGCUGCUGGAGAGGAGAGGACUCUGACACUUUCUCUGUUUCUCGUCAGUUAUACCAAAGAAAAGUUCAAUAACUGCGACAGAUUGUUUGUUUAUUUCUAAUAAGGAGUUGGAGGCCGUGGGAGAAGCAGAUCCG